rnacentral:rRNA from 1 species
UGCAGAAUCCCGUGAACCAUCGAGUCUUUGAACGCAAGUUGCGCCCGAAGCCUUUAGGCCGAGGGCACGUCUGCCUGGGUGUCACACAUCGUUGCCCCAACGCCGAACGCCUUGUGCUCGACGGCGCGUGGGGUGGAAGCUGGCCUCCCGUGAGCUGCGCCUCACGGUUGGUUGAAAAAUGAGUCCGUGGUAGCGUUUACCAUGACGGAUGGUGGCUGAGUAAUGCUCGUGACCAGUUGUGGAAAACCCUACUUCGUUCGGGCUCUCGGAACCCACACGUGUUCUAUNACCGCACUCACAAUGAGACCUCAGGUCAGGCGGGGCUACCCGCUGAGUUUAA